rnacentral:misc_RNA from 1 species
AACUUUCAACAACGGAUCACUUGGCUCUCGCAUCGAUGAAGAACGCAGCGAAAUGCGAUACGUAAUGGGAAUUGCAGAAUUCAGUGAAUCAUCGAAUCUUUGAACGCACCUUGCGCCCCUUGGAAUUCCGACGGGCACACCCGUUUGAGUGUCGUGAACAUCCUUCAACCUUUCUUGGUUUCUUAACCGGGGAAGGCUUGGACUUUGGGGGUCUUUCAUUGCUGGCCUCUUUGAAGCCAGCUCCUCCUAAAUGGAUUAGUGUGGUCUGCUUUGCCGAUCCUUGACGUGAUAAGAUGUUUCUACGUCUUGGGUUUCGCACUGUCGCUUUAGACCCCGCUUCUAACCGUCUUGCAUUCAAGACAGAGUUUUAAACCUUGACCUCAAAUCGGGUGAGACUACCCGCUGAACUUAAGCAUAUCAAUAAGCGGAGGCU